rnacentral:rRNA from 1 species
CAGGCCUAACACAUGCAAGUCGAGGGGUAACAGGGAGUGCUUGCACUCCGCUGACGACCGGCGCACGGGUGCGUAACGCGUAUGCAACCUACCUUUUACAGGGGGAUAGUCAAUAGAAAUGUUGAAUAAUACCCCAUACGAUCUUUGAGGAGCAUUUCUUAGAGAGGAAAACUACGGUGGUAAAAGAUGGGCAUGCGUCCUAUUAGUUAGAUGGUAAGGUAACGGCUUACCAUGGCGACGAUAGGUAGGGGUCCUGAGAGGGAGAUCCCCCACACUGGUACUGAGACACGGACCAGACUCCUACGGGAGGCAGCAGUGAGGAAUAUUGGACAAUGGAGGCAACUCUGAUCCAGCCAUGCCGCGUGCAGGAAGACGGCCCUACGGGUUGUAAACUGCUUUUAUACAGGAGGAAACCUAUCUACGUGUAGAUAGCUGACGGUACUGUACGAAUAAGGAUCGGCUAACUCCGUGCCAGCAGCCGCGGUAAUACGGAGGAUCCAAGCGUUAUCCGGAAUCAUUGGGUUUAAAGGGUCCGCAGGCGGUUUGUUAAGUCAGAGGUGAAAGCCUACCGCUCAACGGUAGAACGGCCUUUGAUACUGACAGGCUUGAGUUAUUGUGAAGUAGUUAGAAUGUGUAGUGUAGCGGUGAA